rnacentral:rRNA from 1 species
UCCGUAGGUGAACCUGCGGAAGGAUCAUUACCUAGAGUUGUAGGCUUUGCCUACCAUCUCUUACCCAUGUCCUUUGAGUACCUUCGUUUCCUCGGCGGGUCCGCCCGCCGAUUGGACAAACUUAAACCCUUUGUAAUUGAAAUCAGCGUCUGAAAAAACAUAAUAGUUACAACUUUCAACAACGGAUCUCUUGGUUCUGGCAUCGAUGAUGAACGCAGCGAAAUGCGAUAAGUAGUGUGAAUUGCAGAAUUCAGUGAAUCAUCGAAUCUUUGAACGCACAUUGCGCCCCUUGGUAUUCCAUGGGGCAUGCCUGUUCGAGCGUCAUUUGUACCUUCAAGCUCUGCUUGGUGUUGGGUGUUUGUCUCGCCUUUGCGUGUAGACUCGCCUUAAAACAAUUGGCAGCCGGCGUAUUGAUUUCGGAGCGCAGUACAUCUCGCGCUUUGCACUCAUAACGACGACGUCCAAAAAGUACUUUUUACACUCUUGACCUCGGAUCAGGUAGGGAUACCCGCUGAACUUAAGCAUAUCAAUAAGCGGAGGA